GACUACGCGGCAGCGGAAACGUUUUAGUUUAUGAGGAAAGUCCGGGCAUCACAGAGCAGGGUAGCUGCUAACGGCAGCCGAGGGCGACCUUAGGGCUAGUGCAACAGAGAUAUACCGCCGCUUUUGCGGUAAGGAUGGAAAGGCGAGGUAAGAGCUCACCAGAGUGCGGGAGACCGUGCUGCUAUGUAAACCCUACCCGAUGCAACGUCUAUUGGUGCUUCGUAUCUUAACGCCGGCUCGGCGGAUACGGAGUAAUGACGGCUUGAGCUUGCCGGCGACGGUAAGCGUAGAUAAAUUGCCGCGCACGACAGAACCCGGCUUAUCGGUCUGGUC
rnacentral:RNase_P_RNA from 1 species